rnacentral:tRNA from 1 species
UCCGGGAUCGUCUAACGGUAGGACAGCGGAAUUUGGAUCCGCUAAUCUACGUUCGAAUCGUAGUCCCGGAACCA